rnacentral:misc_RNA from 1 species
GUAAUUUCAUAAUUUCUCAUUUCAUUUCAAUCUACAAGAGCUCAAAUUCCCUUCAUGACAUAUUAUAUAUAUUAUCUGACUUCUGGAGCUUGAUUGCUACUUUGAAGUUUGUUCUUUGAUAAUUUAAGCCUCAACUAAAGUUGAUGAAGCUUUAACUAUAUCGGUUUAGAGUUCUAUAUUAAUUGUUUGUUUCCCAGUCCACUCACUAAUUAGUUCUACUAGAGCUUAUGCUCUAGACCAAAGUCAGAAC